AGUAACGCGUGGGUAACCUGCCCUUAAGUCUGGGAUACCAUUUGGAAACAGAUGCUAAUACCGGAUAAAAGCUACUUUCGCAUGAAAGAAGUUUAAAAGGCGGCGUAAGCUGUCGCUAAAGGAUGGACCUGCGAUGCAUUAGCUAGUUGGUAAGGUAACGGCUUACCAAGGCGAUGAUGCAUAGCCGAGUUGAGAUACUGAUCGGCCACAUUGGGACUGAGACACGGCCCAAACUCCUACGGGAGGCAGCAGCA
rnacentral:rRNA from 1 species